rnacentral:rRNA from 1 species
AUUGAACGCUGGCGGAAUGCUUUACACAUGCAAGUCGAACGGCAGCACGGGAGCUUGCUCCUGGUGGCGAGUGGCGAACGGGUGAGUAAUAUAUCGGAACGUAUCCAAUAAUGGGGGAUAACUAGUCGAAAGAUUAGCUAAUACCGCAUACGCCCUGAGGGGGAAAGCUGGGGAUCUUCGGACCUAGCGUUAAUGGAGCGGCCGAUAUCUGAUUAGCUAGUAGGUGAGGUAAGAGCUCACCUAGGCGACGAUCAGUAGCUGGUCUGAGAGGACGACCAGCCACACUGGAACUGAGACACGGUCCAGACUCCUACGGGAGGCAGCAGUGGGGAAUUUUGGACAAUGGGCGCAAGCCUGAUCCAGCCAUUCCGCGUGAGUGAAGAAGGCCUCGG